AUUGGAUUUAUAAAAAAAAAAAAACAUAUUUUUUUUUCCUUUCAUGGAUGUUAGAUUGCAUCAUCAACUUAUUCUUAUAAUCAGGAUUUAUUCCUGUGUGAAAAUGUACAAAUUGUAUCUGUGUGAGUGUCAAAACAUAGACUAUUGCAUUAACAGCUAGAUGUUUGUGAAUUGUAUUUCCCUUGAUGCUCACUGAGCCACUAUGGGUGUGACGUUUAGCUGUCACUGGACUACUACAUAACUUAUAAAUUCCUUUAUGGUCAACAACUCAACAAUUUAAUACAUUUAUUAAAAAGUACAUAGCAAGCAGCACUUAUAAGAUUCAGUUGCGCUCUCCUAAUGGCCUGCCAAAUACAUCCUUUGGCUAGAUCAAAUUUGAAUGCAUGUUACAACCAUUACAUUAUUACAUUAUCAUUAUGUCGU